rnacentral:rRNA from 1 species
GUGCCAGCCGCCGCGGUAAUACGGAGGGUGCAAGCGUUGUUCGGAAUCACUGGGCGUAAAGCGCGUGUAGGCGGCUAUCUAAGUCUGAUGUGAAAGCCCUGGGCUCAACUCAGGAAGUGCAUUGGAUACUGGAUAGCUGGAGUACCGGAGAGGAGGGUGGAAUUCCUGGUGUAGCGGUGAAAUGCGUAGAUAUCAGGAGGAACACCGGUGGCGAAGGCGUCCCUCUGGCCGGAUACUGACGCUGAGACGCGAAAGCGUGGGGAGCAAACAGGAUUAGAUACCCCAGUAGUCC